rfam:Brachypodium distachyon strain Bd21 chromosome 1, whole genome shotgun sequence.
UAAUUACUCCCUCCGUCCAACAAAGAAUGUCUCAAGUUUGACCAAAUUUGAAUACACCUAUACACUAAGUUAUGUCUAAAUAUAUUCUAAUUUUGACAAACUUGAGACAUCUUUUGUUGAACGGAGGAAAUAUUAU